GCUUAAUUAGUAUAAAAAGUAUUAUAGACUUCCAAUCUUUAGGUCCAAAAAUUCUAGGAUUAAGCA
rnacentral:tRNA from 1 species